GACGCCGUUAACCCUUUACUCCCAGCUCCCGCCAAUUCCCUAACGCCGUUCCAUUCCGUUAACGCCGUGGACACUGUUCUAGGAGAAGAUGUUGAAGACGACGCCGUUUCAGUCGAUUCUGAUCCAUCCGUUAAUGACUCCGUGAAAGAACCUUCAUAUGAAUUAUUCUCGCUUGAAUUUGAACUCUUCAGUUUCCGUUCUUCUAACUCCGGUUCGGUUUUUUUCCGGUUCACUUGAAUCUUCUCGCCCAUGAGAUCACGAUAACCUAUCGCUGAUAUCUUCUUCUUCAACACCUGAAUCUCUGAACCGUCGAUUAGCAUAGCUCCGAUAUUCAUUACGCCUUGGAACCUUCCCGACGGCCGGCGAAUCUGUACGGCGGAGAAGCACGGUGUUAUUCUCAUUGAAUCACCAUCGAGGAUGUUGCUGAUAAGGAAUCGAACAGUUCCGAUGAGAUGAUCGCGGAAGGUGCCGACGGCGUAGAUAGCAACGCUGACGCCGGAGGUUUCAGAGGCGAGGAAGUCCGGGGUAACACGGAAGAGGAAUUUGUCGUUCCAAGUAGGAUUCUCGCCGCCGACUCUGUCGAUUCUGGUACGAAGCUUGGUAUCGGAGUGAAUCCAGGUGAGAGCGUAGGUGUGGAAUGUUCGGCGUGGAGAUGACGGUGGUUUCAAGCCUUGUGCUGAGAUCAAGUUAAUCUCCAAUACAAUGUUAUUCAUAUUCGCCGGCGACGGCGACGACGACGAC